ACUCCUACGGGAGGCAGCAGUGGGGAAUAUUGCACAAUGGGCGCAAGCCUGAUGCAGCCAUGCCGCGUGUGUGAAGAAGGCCUUCGGUUGUAAAGCACUUUCUAGCAGUGAGGAAGGACGGGUAGUGUUAAUAGCAUAUUCGUUUGUACGUUAGCUGCAGAAGAAGCACCGGCUAACUCCGUGCCAGCAGCCGCGGUAAUACGGAGGGUGCGAGCGUUAAUCGGAAUUACUGGGCGUAAAGCGCAUGCAGGUGGUUUGUUAAGUCAGAUGUGAAAGCCCGGGGCUCAACCUCGGAAUAGCAUUUGAAACUGGCAGACUAGAGUACUGUAGAGGGGGUA
rnacentral:rRNA from 1 species